AAGUCGUAACAAGGUUUCCGUAGGUGAACCUGCGGAAGGAUCAUUAACACGUCUCUACGUACACCAACCAACCGCGAUUCCCACCCGCAUCCCCGCACACUGCGAGCUUCAAUGCUUAAGUGCGCGGAGUCGGACGACAGAGGCAGUCAGUCAGCUGCGUGCGCGCACAAGAAGCGAGCUAGCUGCGAGAGCGGCUACUUGCGUACGGCGCGCACAGGCAGGCAGGCAUCCGACGUCGUCUUACGAUACAUACACGUUUUCACACCAAAUGUACCCCAUAGUUGUGCUGGCUGUAUCGCGCGCUCUGUGCGCCUCACGGCCCGAGAUAUUAUUUAUUUCAACAUCACACAACUCUUAGCAAUGGAUAUCUUGGUUCUC
rnacentral:misc_RNA from 1 species